UGUAGCUCAAUUGGCAGAGCAGCCGGCUGUUAACCGGCAGGUUACUGGUUCGAGUCCAGUCG
rnacentral:tRNA from 1 species